UGUGGUUUAAUUCGACGCAACGCGAAGAACCUUACCUGGGCUAGACAACGGUGGACCUCCCCAGAGAUGGGGAUUUCCCCUUCGGGGACUGCCGGAUCAGGUGCUGCAUGGCUGUCGUCAGCUCGUGUCGUGAGAUGUUGGGUUAAGUCCCGCAACGAGCGCAACCCCGCCUUUAGUUGCUACCAUUCAGUUGAGCACUCUAAAGGGACCGCCGGCGUUAAGCCGGAGGAAGGUGGGGAUGACGUCAAGUCCUCAUGGCCCUUAUGUCCAGGGCUACACACGUGCUACAAUGGGCGGUACAGAGGGUUGCCAAGCCGCGAGGUGGAGCCAAUCCCCCAAGCCGGCCUCAGUUCAGAUUGCAGGCUGCAACUCGCCUGCAUGAAGCUGGAGUUGCUAGUAAACGCGCGUCAGCUAUAGUGCGUUGAAUACGUUCUCGGGCCUU
rnacentral:rRNA from 1 species